AAUAUAAGGUUACUUACAGUUCACUCUUCUAUAAAGCAGUUGAUAAUCCACUAGACGUGAUGUUAAACAAGAACUACUAUGGGCCACUCUGAAACAUAGUAGAAAAGAUAUUUUUUCAGGUACUGACAGCAUGCCUUGCUUAUCACUACUUCUAACACAUUACCAGAAAAUCUCUUAAGAUCUCCAACUAUGAAGGAGAUUUUUACUGACUUCUAUCACACUAUAAUUGUACAUAAAACCUGGAAGAUAAGCUUGGUGCUCAGAAGCCAUGCUGAUAUAUGUUUGGGGAUAGGAGGCAGGUGACAUGCCAACGUAGUUUAGUGAAAUAUUGGUCACCUCCUGGGACAAGGCUUGCUGAAGUCAAUUCUGCCUGUAGAAAAAUCAGUGGGGCUACACAAAUGCACACUAAGUGCUCUGUAAGCACUGCAAAUGCCACUAUAACGUCUCCCCGGAGCCUUCAUGUGUCCAAGUGCCAUAAGCUGGGGAGCACAAGACCAGCUGCUGAAUGGAUCCAUCUCAUAUACAGGAUAUACACUCCCAGUGAAGGACUCACUCCACCAGGAAGGGGAAAAGGUUUUUGAUGAAGCUGAGAUGGCACCAUUGCGUGUUUCCAGGAUUAGAAAUGUUAAUGUUUCCUUCACCACAUUUGGGUGCUGCUUUCGACAGAGUAUGGCAUAGCAGACACAGACCUGCUGUGUUGCAGAUUUUGCCAGGCUCAGUAACAGUCAUCAUAUGCUGCUUUAAAUCUUCCUGCCUUUUUUAUAUUAUUUUACUUUAUUUUUCCUCUUCUGCAGCAUAAUCGCUGCAGAUGUAUAAAACUCUGUGUUAUUUGUAAAGUGAAACCUAUACUGUAAUGAUAGUGUUUUGCUUCUGAUAAAAAGCAUUCUUCUUUGGACAUGUUGCAAACAAGAGAUUAGCUGUUCUCCUUUCCUAUUCUCUGCAUACUAAUUCCACUAAAACUGCUAUGUUAUGCAAGC
ensembl:lncRNA